UGAGAUGCCCAAUUCUAUGUAAAGUGCUUUCGAAGAGUCGAGUUGUUUGGGAAUGCAGCUCUAAGUGGGUGGUAAAUUCCAUCUAAAGCUAAAUAUUGGCGAGAGACCGAUAGCGAACAAGUACAGUGAUGGAAAGAUGAAAAGAACUUUGAAAAGAGAGUGAAAAAGUACGUGAAAUUGUUGAAAGGGAAGGGCUUGAGAUCAGACUUGGUAUUUUGCGAUCCUUUCCUUCUUGGUUGGGUUCCUCGCAGCUUACUGGGCCAGCAUCGGUUUGGAUGGUAGGAUAAUGACUAAGGAAUGUGGCUCUACUUCGGUGGAGUGUUAUAGCCUUGGUUGAUACUGCCUGUCUAGACCGAGGACUGCGUCUUUUGACUAGGAUGUUGGCAUAAUGAUCUUAAGCCACCCGUCUUGAAACACGGACCAAGGAGUCUAACGUCUAUGCGAGUGUUUGGGUGUAAAACCCGUACGCGUAAUGAAAGUGAACGUAGGUGAGAGCUCUUAAGAGUGCAUCAUCGACCGAUCCUGAUGUCUUCGGAUGGAUUUGAGUAAGAGCAUAGCUGUUGGGACCCGAAAGAUGGUGAACUAUGCCUGAAUAGGGUGAAGCCAGAGGAAACUCUGGUGGAGGCUCGUAGCGGUUCUGACGUGCAAAUCGAUCGUCGAAUUUGGGUAUA
rnacentral:rRNA from 1 species